GAUGAACGCUGGCGGCGUGCCUAAUACAUGCAAGUCGAGCGAACAGACGAGGAGCUUGCUCCUCUGACGUUAGCGGCGGACGGGUGAGUAACACGUGGAUAACCUACCUAUAAGACUGGGAUAACUUCGGGAAACCGGAGCUAAUACCGGAUAAUAUAUUGAACCGCAUGGUUCAAUAGUGAAAGACGGUUUUGCUGUCACUUAUAGAUGGAUCCGCGCCGCAUUAGCUAGUUGGUAAGGUAACGGCUUACCAAGGCAACGAUGCGUAGCCGACCUGAGAGGGUGAUCGGCCACACUGGAACUGAGACACGGUCCAGACUCCUACGGGAGGCAGCAGUAGGGAAUCUUCCGCAAUGGGGGAAAGCCUGUCGGAGCAACGCCGCGUGAGUGAUGAAGGUCUUCGGAUCGUAAAACUCUGUUAUUAGGGAAGAACAAAUGUGUAAGUAACUAUGCACGUCUUGACGGUACCUAAUCAGAAAGCCACGGCUAACUACGUG
rnacentral:rRNA from 1 species